GACGAACGCUGGCGGCGUGCUUAACACAUGCAAGUCGAACGGAAAGGCCCUACUGUUGCGUGGUGUUUGGGAGGGGAGCGUGAGAGUUACACAAGUGGAACCCGCCCCUGACAUACGGAUAACUUCUGGAGACUGGGUCUCAUACUGGAUAGGAUCUCCCGCGGCAUGGUGUGGGAAGGAAAGUUUCGGCGGUUCGGGCUGGACUCGAGGCAUAUCAGCUGGUUGGUGGGGUAGUGGCUUACCAAGGCUUUGACGGGUAGCCGGCCUGGGAGGCGGACCGGCCACAUGGGGACUGAGAGACGGCCCAGACUCCUACGGGAGGCAGCAGUGGGGAAUAUUGCGCAAUGGGCGGAAGCCUGAGGCAGCGACGCCGCGUGCGGGAUGACGGCCUUCGGGUUGUAAACCUCUUUCUGCUGUGACGAAGCGAGAGUGACGGUACUUGCUGAAGAAGCACCGGCUAACUACGUG
rnacentral:rRNA from 1 species